CGGGGUGAGUAAUGUAUGGGGAUCUGCCUGAUGGCGGGGGAUAACUACUGGAAACGGUAGCUAAUACCGCAUAAUGUCUGCGGACCAAAGCGGGGGACCUCCGGGCCUCGCGCCAUCAGAUGAACCCAUAUGGGAUUAGCUUGUAGGUAAGGUAACGGCUUACCUAGGCGACGAUCCCUAGCUGGUCUGAGAGGAUGACCAGCCACACUGGAACUGAGACACGGCCAG
rnacentral:rRNA from 1 species